CCUACGGGAGGCAGCAGUGGGGAAUCUUGCGCAAUGCGCGAAAGCGUGACGCAGCAACGCCGCGUGCGGGAAGACGGCCUUCGGGUUGUAAACCGCUUUCAGUUGGGACGAAGCCUCGCCAGUUAAUAGCUGGUUGGGGUGACGGUACCUUCACAAGAAGCCCCGGCUAACUACGUGCCAGCAGCCGCGGUAAUACGUAGGGGGCAAGCGUUGUCCGGAAUCAUUGGGCGUAAAGCGCGUGUAGGCGGCUCAGUUAGUCCGUUGUGAAAGUCCAGGGCUCAACCCUGGAAUGCCGACGGAUACUGCUGAGCUCGAGUCCGGAAGAGGCGAGUGGAAUUCCUGGUGUAGCGGUGAAAUGCGCAGAUAUCAGGAGGAACACCAAUGGCGAAGGCAGCUCGCUGGGACGGUACUGACGCUGAGACGCGAAAGCGUGGGGAGCAAACGAGGUAUUAGACUACCCGUGGUACGUCCGACCGACCGUAACGUACGUAGGCGACGUAGGUAGGUGGGGGUUGGGUCGGUACCGUCCCCGUCCGCCGACGACGUACGACAUAGUACGCCCGCCGUCGGGAGGUACGGCCGCGACGACGUAAACGUUAAACGGUAAGUUAGACGGCGUGAGACGUCGCCGACGGACGACGACGAGGGAGGAGG
rnacentral:rRNA from 1 species